ACAUGCCUACAUCAUAGUGUUAAUGCACCAGAUCCCAUUAGAACUCUGUAGUUAAUCUCCCUCAGGCUAGAGUAGUACUGGGAUGGGUGACCGCCUGGGAAGUUCUAGUGUUUUACAUGCC
rnacentral:rRNA from 1 species